rnacentral:tRNA from 1 species
GUGGCUGUAGCUCAAUGGCGGAGCGUCUGACUGUGGAUCAGAAGGGUGUGGGUUCGACCCCCAUCAGCCACCCCA